AGAGUUUGAUCCUGGCUCAGGAUGAACGCUAGCGGCAGGCUUAACACAUGCAAGUCGAGGGGCAGCGGGGAGGAAGCUUGCUUUCUCCGCCGGCGACCGGCGCACGGGUGAGUAACACGUAUGCAACCUGCCCCUGUCAGGGGGACAACCCGCCGAAAGGCGGGCUAAACCCGCGUACAUGCCACCGGGGCAUCCCGGAGGCAGGAAAGGCUUCGGCCGGACAGGGAUGGGCAUGCGGCGCAUUAGGCAGUAGGCGGGGUAACGGCCCACCUAACCGACGAUGCGUAGGGGUUCUGAGAGGAAGGUCCCCCACACUGGUACUGAGACACGGACCAGACUCCUACGGGAGGCAGCAGUGAGGAAUAUUGGUCAAUGGUCGGGAGACUGAACCAGCCAAGCCGCGUGAGGGAGGAAGGUACAGAGUAUCGUAAACCUCUUUUGUCAGGGAACAAAGGCGGGGACGUGUCCCCGGAUGAGUGUACCUGAAGAAAAAGCAUCGGCUAACUCCGUGCCAGCAGCCGCGGUAAUACAGAGGAUGCGAGCGUUAUCCGGAUUUAUUGGGUUUAAAGGGUGCGCAGGCGGUCUGUUAAGUCAGCGGUCAAAGCCCGGGGCUCAACCCCGGCCCGCCGUUGAAACUGGCAGUCUCGAGUUGGAGAGAAGUAUGCGGAAUGCGCGGUGUAGCGGUGAAAUGCAUAGAUAUCGCGCAGAACUCCGAUUGCGAAGGCAGCAUGCCGGCUCCACACUGACGCUGAGGCACGAAAGCGUGGGUAUCGAACAGGAUUAGAUACCCUGGUAGUCCACGCAGUAAACGAUGAAUGCUGGCUGUCCGGGGGGAUUGACCCCUGGGUGGCGAAGCGAAAGCGAUAAGCAUUCCACCUGGGGAGUACGCCGGCAACGGUGAAACUCAAAGGAAUUGACGGGGGCCCGCACAAGCGGAGGAACAUGUGGUUUAAUUCGAUGAUACGCGAGGAACCUUACCCGGGCUCAAACGGGGAGUGACUCAGGCAGAGAUGCCUGUUUCCCACGGGACACUCCCCGAGGUGCUGCAUGGUUGUCGUCAGCUCGUGCCGUGAGGUGUCGGCUUAAGUGCCAUAACGAGCGCAACCCCCGCGUGCAGUUGCUAACAGAUAACGCUGAGGACUCUGCACGGACUGCCGGCGCAAGCCGCGAGGAAGGCGGGGAUGACGUCAAAUCAGCACGGCCCUUACGUCCGGGGCGACACACGUGUUACAAUGGGUGGUACAGCGGGAAGCCAGGCGGCGACGCCGAGCGGAACCCGAAAUCCACUCUCAGUUCGGAUCGGAGUCUGCAACCCGACUCCGUGAAGCUGGAUUCGCUAGUAAUCGCGCAUCAGCCAUGGCGCGGUGAAUACGUUCCCGGGCCUUGCACACACCGCCCGUCAAG
rnacentral:rRNA from 1 species